rnacentral:rRNA from 1 species
GACAGAGGGGGCAAGCGUUGCUCGGAAUUACUGGGCGUAAAGGGCGCGUAGGCGGGAUGGCAAGUCGGUCGUGAAAUCCCUCGGCUCAACUGAGGAGCGUCGAUCGAAACUGCCGUUCUUGAGGGUUGCAGAGGAGACUGGAAUUCCCGGUGUAGCGGUGAAAUGUGUAGAGAUCGGGAGGAACACCGGUGGCGAAGGCGGGUCUCUGGGCAGUAACUGACGCUGAGGAGCGAAAGCGUGGGGAGCGAACAGG